UACAGAGGGUGCAAGCGUUGUUCGGAAUUAUUGGCGUAAGGGCGCGUAGGCGGUGCCACAAGUCACCCUGUGAAAUCUCCGGGCUUACUCGGAGCCUGCAGGCGAAACUGUGGUGCUGGAGUGUGGGAGAGGUGCGUGGAAUUCCCGGUGUAGCGGUGAAAUGACGUAGAUAGUCGGGAGGAACACCUGUGGCGAAAGCGGCUCACUGGACCACAACGUGACGCUGAGGCGCGAAAGCUAGGGGAGCAAACA
rnacentral:rRNA from 1 species